GAUGAACGCUGGCGGCGUGCCUAAUACAUGCAAGUCGAGCGAACAGAUAAGGAGCUUGCUCCGUUGACGUUAGCGGCGGACGGGUGAGUAACACGUGGGUAACCUACCUAUAAGACUGGAAUAACUCCGGGAAACCGGGGCUAAUGCCGGAUAACAUUUAGAACCGCAUGGUUCUAUAGUGAAAGAUGGUUUUGCUAUCACUUAUAGAUGGACCCGCGCCGUAUUAGCUAGUUGGUAAGGUAACGGCUUACCAAGGCAACGAUACGUAGCCGACCUGAGAGGGUGAUCGGCCACACUGGAACUGAGACACGGUCCAGACUCCUACGGGAGGCAGCAGUAGGGAAUCUUCCGCAAUGGGCGAAAGCCUGACGGAGCAACGCCGCGUGAGUGAUGAAGGUCUUCGGAUCGUAAAACUCUGUUAUUAGGGAAGAACAAAUGUGUAAGUAACUGUGCACGUCUUGACGGUACCUAAUCAGAAAGCCACGGCUAACUACGUG
rnacentral:rRNA from 1 species